rnacentral:rRNA from 1 species
UGGGGAAUUUUGGACAAUGGGCGAAAGCCUGAUCCAGCCAUGCCGCGUGUCUGAAGAAGGCCUUCGGGUUGUAAAGGACUUUUGUCAGGGAGCAAAACUUACUGGUUAAUACCCGGUGAGGCUGAGAGUACCUGAAGAAUAAGCACCGGCUAACUACGUGCCAGCAGCCGCGGUAAUACGUAGGGUGCAAGCGUUAAUCGGAAUUACUGGGCGUAAAGCGUGCGCAGGCGGACUUUUAAGCCAGAUGUGAAAGCCCCGAGCUUAACUUGGGAAUUGCGUUUGGAACUGGGAGUCUAGAGUCUGUCAGAGGGGGAUGGAAUUCCACGUGUAGCAGUGAAAUGCGUAGAGAUGUGGAGGAACACCGAUGGCGAAGGCAGUCCCCUGGGAUAAGACUGACGCU